AAGUUGAAAAUAAACAUUAAUUUAAGAUAUAUUCUGAUUAAAAAUUUUAAUUAUUGCAUUAUAUUUUAUAAUUACAAGAAAUAGAAAUUAUAUCAAAAAAUAUUUAAGUUUGAGGAAACCUUAUAUAUUAGUAUUUUUAUUCAAUCGUAUAUAAAAAGGGGCAGAAACUAUUCUAACAUUGGCAGGUGCUUUGACCUGCUUGAUUUGACCAUAAUAGAAUCGGGCGUAUUACAUGGUCAGGGUCAGAUCUUGAUCUUAACAACAGAUUUCAAUCGGUGGAGCUGUAGUAUCCUGCACAACCGAUUAAUGCGUAGAAGUACUAGGGGGGACUUGCGAUUCUUCUUGUAAUGUUUUUUAGGUCAAUUGAAAAGAAAUUGGUUAAAAAUUUCAAUGCCAAUAAUAUUAUUUACAAGAAAAAAGGCAAAGUUUAAAUAAGCAAAUGAUAUUUUUUUUAAAAAUGCUAUAAUAUUAUUAGAAAUUUAUAUUUGAAUUAUAUUUUUUAUUAUAUAAAGCUAAAAAAUAUUAAUAAUG